rnacentral:lncRNA from 1 species
AUUGCCUGCUGCCAUGUAAGGUGUGGCUUUGCUCACUCAUUACCUUCCACCAUGAUUGUGAGGCCUCCUCAGUGAUGUGGAACUGUUCAGCAGCCAGAGUCCUAUCCUGUACUUCUCUUCACGUUGCAGACAUCCACGAAAGAGUGAGACUGUUUUCGGUUGGAUUGAAGAGCAAAUGUGUGGAAGGCACCAAGAGACAGGAUCUCACUAUGUUUCCCAAGUUGGUCUUGAACUUCUGGCCUCAAGCAAUUCUCUUGCCUUGGCCUCCCAAAAUUCUGGAAUUAUAGGCAUGAGUCACCAGAAACGGCCCACUUUAUUUACUUCUGUGAUGCCUAUACAUUGUGUUAUCAAUAAAACUUGAGAUUCUGUAACUGA